UAUAACCUGAACAUUUCAGUAGAGUGCUACUAUAUUAUUGCAAGCAUAUUGACGUCUUUUCUGGCAGGAUUAACUGCAUCCUAAGAAUAACAAACAAGAACACGUGUGCUGUUCUGCCAGUGUCAGAACAUUCUGUGCGACUCUUGCACAAACUAAAAUAUAAUUUUGUUUUUUAGGUCAUCUCAGCAGAACGGAACUGAAGAUGUGACACACAAGACACCAGGAGAAUCAGCUGGAGAGGGGAGGUGCUGAUCAAUGAAGGACACGUAGAGAGACUCGCUUCUAGAUCUGUCAGUCUUGGGGAAGCUCUUCUUCAGGAAUGCGGAGGAGUGCAUAAGCAAAAGAGGAUGCCUACAGACAUGAAAUUGAAACGGAAAGAACCAGGCUUGGUAAUGCAGAAUUCUAGUCGGCCUCAGAAGCCAGGACUGUGGUGAAUGGGAAAGGAACAUUCAUGUCAUUAAUGCGACCUCAGACUGCACAGCCUCUGUGAGAGCUUCAUGUGGGUGGAAGAGGGGACGUCUCCAAACCUCCAAAGUUUGGUCUCUGACUAGAAGGUGGUGAAUUAAAGCCAGGACAUUUAUAGUUUUGACUUCACACCUCUCUUCACCUCUCUUGACUUCACACCACCUGAAUGUCCACUCUGCUUCUAUUCUCCCAUGCUUUAUCAGCUGUUGAUUUCCCUCUCUUUCUCACGCCCAAGAGCCAAUGGAUUCUUCCAGCUUUGCUGCUGGCACACUAGAUCCACAAGGGCAGGGCUUGAAUUGGAGCAGAACUUUGAGCCGCACAAAUUCCCUCAAGCUCUGCAACAGCCUCCAGGAAAUCCACAAGGCACUUUGUGCCUCUCCAAAGACUCUGGCUUGUAAACCCUGGUUUCCUUUGCAUCUACUGCUUUAGUCCUAAUUUCUUGUCAAUAGAACUAACCUCUGCCACUACAAUACGUCCUUGAUCAUUGUUGCCUUAUUAAAAGGUAUGUGAAACUGUACAGUAGGUUGUUUAUGUGGUUUUGACAUACUUUGAGUUCUUCUGCAUGAUGAUACCCUCAAGGGAAGAGAGUUUAUCAGCAAACUUUUCUUUUUUUUUCAAAUGGCAUUGUUCCCCAGCCUGCACUGCUGUCUCACUCAAAAGCUACAUACAGUAGCACAUUUGUGUUCUGAGCUUGAAUGUUUAUUUUGUAUUUUUUGCCAUUGAAAAAGCACAGCCUGUCAAUACAUUAUAGUUCUUCAUUUCCCUUUGAUGAGGCCUUGGACUUGAUUCAGUGAUUGAAUGUAUGAUCCACCUCAUUGUUUCAACAGCUAUUUAUCAUCAAUACUGUACACCCUUAAGUUAAGAAAAUUCAAAGCAAUUAAGAAAAGAAAAUUAUAAGUAUUAUCUAUUAACUGAGUCUUGGUUUACUAGGUCACUACAUCAUUUCUGAUUGUAAUGCUCCUUUCACAGUUAGAUUCUUUGGGUUUUGUGUUAAGGAAAACUGACAUUCAUCACAUCCAAAAUCAAGCCAGAUUGUGUUCUGCAGUUUGACUGUUAAUGUUUUAAUCAUCACCUGAGUUUUUUUUGCAUACUUACUCUGUAUUGUAGUUUGAGAUGAGAUUAAGAAGUUUCAAGUGGAACCGCAUUUCAUUCUUGGAUUUCAUGAUGAACAGCAGAAUUGUGUUAUUGACAGAAAAUGUCUGUCAAUUAGACAGAAAAGGGUGUAAAUUAAAUUAGCAGCAUGUUGACUGUCUCCAACAGCAUGCAUUCAAACAGUUUGCAGUUGUCAAGACACAAAUGUAACUGUCCUGUGGAAAAAAUAGAUGGGGUUAGAGGCAUAAAGAUUUUCUAAUUACAAAAAGUAUAUAAGGAACCACUCUAUAAAUGAAAGAAAACAUAAUUAUUUUCUAAUUAUUGAGAAUGGCUGUGACUGUAUUGAUUUAUAUAGCGGAAGAAAGAAAACUUUAUCAACCUUAUGAAUUUAUUUCUUACUAUGCUUAAAAUCUACAAAACACAAAUGCAUUUACAAAUAUUUGAGUUUCAAAAUAUUUAGAUGGAAACACUACUGAGUGAUAUCAUUACUACCUUCUCUAAGAGAUGUAAACUGGAUAAACAGACAUAGUAAUGUGUAUUUUUUAUGUUAGACAUAGGUAGUAUAAUCAGCACAUUCAUAUUAAUGAAGGAGGAAUGGAAGAGUUUUGCUCCUCAAGAUAGACACUUUAUGGCAUAAAACUUUGGGUCACAAACGAAUGAAGAGACUUCUGCUGUCUUUUAAGAAGAUCUGCUGCUUCCUGUCACUAUCCGGUUCCUGGUAUUUUUCAGUUGUCAAGAGGGCUGACAACGUUCUGCUAAAACACAGAGUGCAAGGUAUCUAAAUAGUACAGGAACUGUUUAGUUUGGGGUCUCUAAUUAAUGGUCUGAUGAGAUAUUCCUGAUAAAAACUAAAUGGACAAUACACUCAAGCCUCUCAGUCACACUGGGCCUUUGAAGGUACUAUUCUGGGAAGUAAGAACUUUAGAAGUUUUUAUAAUGCAAAAUGUGUCCCAUAAAAAUUUACUGGGCCUGCUUAAAGCCUUAUAUUGCAUCUUAAAAGCUUUGCCAAAUAAAGAUAAUGGAUAAAAAUGAGAGCCUGGUAAAAACAUAAGACAAUGUUAAAUUAUCCUGACCUACAUGGUAAGAUGUUCUAACAUAAAGGAUAGUAGAGUAAAGUUUAUUAGGCUCUGCUGAUGGGUUGUUAUGAUUUUCUCUGAAAAAUAGAGUCAUCUGCAGUUUACAUGUGGGCCGUGAAAUACUGCUUAAAAAGAUAUGGAAACUCAGAGUAUGUACUCAUUUAAAGUCUGAGGUGUUUUCUUGAUUGGCCAAAAUAAAUCUUUCAAUCAAGUAUGGCAGUCAAUCUUCUGAAAUAAACUUGCUGGCCUGGAGAGGUACCACGCCAUCAUCUUAGAAAGAAAAAAGAUGAGCAUUGGAGUUACCCAAGCACCCGCAGUAUCAGACCUUUCAUAUUGCUUCUCUGGUCUCGUCAUCUUGCAUGUUGUGGAAAACCAGCAAGACAAACCUGGGUACCAUGACACUGUGCUCCCUUUGUGCCAGACCUUCUUGUGUCUGUAGAUAGAACAGGAAACGCCAGGGUCCCCUGUGGACACUGGCGUGGUCAAGGGCCAGCCUCGAGAAGCCGACUGGUUCAAAAAUGUGGAUCUUGAAUCCAGUGGAUUUUCGGUCAUUUUAAAUGGUCCAACACCUGAUGCCUGUGGAGAAGGGACUUUUUGGUUCAGUUACACAUUAAUGGGAUCAUUUAGCACUCAUAAAGUGAAGAGCUGUUUAUGACUAAUAAGACCUAGAAAUCCUGUUGGAUUCUGGACUCCAGUAUAAUCAAUAGUAAUGAUAUUUUGCAAAGAAGCUUAUAAAGCUUCUAACAAGGCUUACAAAGAAGACAGGUUGUUGGAAACUACCUGUAUGUUUCAGAUGAUUCGUAAGGAGUAGUGACUGGGAACUGUCAUCCGAUUUCUCAAAAGUUUUCCAAAUGUCCUUAGGUUAAUUAGAAGCAGAUACAAUGCUGAAUGAUUAAUGACUUAAGCUUCAUCGCCCUUUUCAUCAGCAGUGCAUUACUAAAAAAAGUUCACUUAAACACAGAAGACAGUUCUUUGUUUAGGGAAUUAAAUUUAAACAGUAGUUAAGACUAGAGUCUACACAAAAAUUAUACUGUUUACUCUUGAUAAAAAUAACCAUUCUUAAAGUUACUGUAUAACCCAAUGGUAUUGAAAUUAUGUGUGUGUUUUAAUAUCAUAUGUAACUUAAGACUUGGUGUUAAAAUCUUUGAAAAAAUGCGUUCAUGUGUAUAAUGUGAAUAUAUUCAGUAUUUUCUGUUGAAUUAACACAUUUUCCGUUGAAUAAACUAAGUAAUUUACAACUUGA